rnacentral:lncRNA from 1 species
CCCAGCCCCCGCGCUCGGCCCGGCCCCGCUCGGCGGCGUGUCGGGAGGAAGCGCCGGCCGCGCGGCCGCCGGCCCCUCGGUUCGCCCGCCCCCCGUCUCCUCCCCUUCGCAGCCGAUCCUCCGCCCCCUCCUCCUCCCGCUGGCGGCGGCGGCGGCUUUCUCGGCCCGGCUCCCCGCUCUUCCCCGCGGCUUCGCCUCGCUCUUCAGCGGGAGGCUCCGCGCCGCGCCGGCGAAGACGGCAGUGCUGCAAGGAGCCUCUGGGAGUUCUGGAGGGAAGAGACCAGCCUCCUUUUGGAGACCUUUGCUACGGGUGAAGACCGUCAAACAAGUCAAGCAGAUACAGCAGGAGCUCAGAAGUUUUACAUCAAGCCUCCACUGGAGCUUUGCAGUCUGCCGUUCAAAGCCUGAACAAGAGCUCAGCACUGUGCUUUUUCAGAUCGCACAAAGGAAGCAAGGAGACUCCCACAUCUUUCAGCGAGAAGAAAGGAGGCAGUGGAGCAGACUAAUACGGACUUGUGUCUGGUGGCCUUGCAGUACAAAGGCUGCCUUUAAAAGAGAAGCGCAGCGUUAUUUAAUGAGCUGUGAGAUGAGGCGCUGCUGCUAACGCUCAGAUCCCUGGAUUCAUCGGCUAUUCAUUGUGCUUAAUGUACAUGUUUCUACACCGUGCGUUUAGGAGAUCCCAGAGAAGAAUCCAAAACGGCUG